AUUGAACGCUGGCGGCAUGCCUUACACAUGCAAGUCGAACGGCAGCACGGGAGCAAUCCUGGUGGCGAGUGGCGAACGGGUGAGUAAAGUAUCGGAACGUGCCCAGUCGUGGGGGAUAACGUAGCAAAAGUUACGCUAAUACCGCAUACGAUCUAUGGAUGAAAGCGGGGGAUCGCAAGACCUCGCGCGAUUGGAGCGGCCGAAAUCAGAUUAGGUAGUUGGUGGGGUAAAGGCUCACCAAGCCGACGAUCUGUAGCUGGUCUGAGAGGACGACCAGCCACACUGGGACUGAGACACGGCCCAGACUCCUACGGGAGGCAGCAGUGGGGAAUUUUGGACAAUGGGCGAAAGCCUGAUCCAGCCAUGCCGCGUGCAGGAUGAAGGCCUUCGGGUUGUAAACUGCUUUUGUACGGAACGAAAAGGUUUGGCCUAAUAAGCUGAGCUCAUGACGGUACCGUAAGAAUAAGCACCGGCUAACUACGUGCCAGCAGCCGCGGUAA
rnacentral:rRNA from 1 species